UGUUCCUACGGGGCGCAGCAGUGGGGAAUCUUCCGCAAUGGGCGAAAGCCUGACGGAGCAACGCCGCGUGAUCGAAUGAAGGCCUUCGGGUUGUAAAGAUCUGUUGACAGGGACGAAUAAGCAAUGCGAAUAGUUUUGUGUAUGACGGUACCUGUUUAGAAAGCUCCGGCUAACUACGUGCCAGCAGCCGCGGUAAUACGUAGGGAGCAAGCGUUGUCCGGAUUUACUGGGUGUAAAGGGAGCGCAGGCGGCACGGCAAGCCUGAUGUGAAAGCCCGCGGCCCAACCGCGGGACUGCAUUGGGAA
rnacentral:rRNA from 1 species